rnacentral:rRNA from 1 species
AUUGAACGCUGGCGGCAGGCCUAACACAUGCAAGUCGAACGAGUGGCGGACGGGUGAGUAAUGUCUUGGAAACUGCCCGAUGGAGGGGGAUAACUCCUGGAAACGGUAGCUAAUACCGCAUACCAUCUGAUGUGCCCAGAGGGGAUGAGCUAGUCGGUGGGGUAACGGCUCAACUAGGCGACGAUCCCUAGCUGGUCUGGGAGGAUGAUCAGCCAAACUGGAACAAAGACACGGUCCAGAAUCCUACGGGAGGCAGCAGUGGGGAAUAGUGCACAAUGGGCGCAAACCUGAUGCAGCCAUGCCGAGUAUAUGAAGAAGGCCUUCGGGUUGUAAAGUACUUUCAGCGAGGAGGCGUUACUCGCAGAAGAAACACCGGCAAAGUCCGUGCCAGCAGCCGCGGUAAUUC